GACGAAGGAUGCAGCGUUAUCCGGAUUCAUUGGGUUUAAAGGGAGCGUAGGUGGCCAAAUAAGUCAGUGGUGAAAUCUCUGGGCUUAACCCAGAAAUUGCCAUUGAUACUGUAUGGCUUGAGUGUAGUUGCCGUUGGCGGAAUAUGACAUGUAGUGGUGAAAUACAUAGAGAUGUCAUAGAACACCGAUUGCGAAGCAGCUGACGAAACUAUAACUGACACUGAGGCUCGAAAGUGCGGGGAUCAAACAGG
rnacentral:rRNA from 1 species